rnacentral:pre_miRNA from 1 species
AGUGGAAUUGUUGGAUUAUAUGGUACUUGCAUUUUUAGUUUUUUGAGGAACAUCCAUAAUAUUUUCCAGAAUAACUGUACUAUUUUGCAAUACCAUGAGCAAU